AUGCUGUUCUUCUCCUACUUCAAGGAGCUCGUCGGGAAGGAGGUUACGGUGGAGCUCAAGAACGACCUGGCCAUCCGCGGCACGCUCCACUCGGUGGAUCAGUACCUCAACAUCAAGCUCGAGAACACUCGGGUCGUCGACCAGGACAAGUAUCCCCACAUGCUAUCGGUGCGGAACUGCUUCAUCAGGGGAUCUGUGGUGCGUUACGUACUGCUUCCGCAGGACGGGGUUGACAUCGACAUCCUCCAUGACGCUACCAGGAGGGAGGCACGGGGCGGCUGA
rnacentral:rRNA from 1 species